AAGCAAGAUGCGUUGUGGUUCCAGUGUGCAGAGAGCUCCUUGCUGUUUCGUGAAGGAUCACAGCCACUUCAUAAAUACAGCACAAAAGGGUGAAGGCUUCUUCAGUGGAGAAGGUUUAUUCUGUGCUUGUUGCACUUGUUGCUUGGACUCAGUAGUUUAAAGAAGGCCAGACUGGUUCAGGAGAUAGGAGGCAUUUAGCAGUGCUGCGAUGGGGUGAUAACGGAAGUUUGAGUAGAUAUAGCCUUUAUAAAAAGCUUUUAUUAUAAGGCCUACAGGUCCCUGACUGGAGGACUCAUGUGCUGUGCUGCUCUCUCCUUAAGAAGCAUGUUCAGGACUGAGCCAUCUAUUUGAAAUGUCCUCCCAGCUCUCCACCCCUGCAGGAGAUUUUAAACAAAGGUUAAAGAAGGAAAGAAACAGCAUAAGCAAAUUUCAAGGGACAAGAUUAAUCACUGCACAUCGAUUCCAUCAUGACAAACAGCCCAAGGAUUUACGUGCUGCUCACCUUGUGAUGACUGCCUGAUGUACAGGUUUUAUGAAGACAAGAGUGAAGGAGUGCAGCCCCCCUUGGCAGUCACAGCAGAAGGCAACUGAGGACCAGCCCAUCCUCUUCAAAACAGAGAUGUCCAGGUCCUGGGAAAGAGGUGUUGCUUCGGCCCUUGGUCUGGAGGAUCUGUUGUAAGAGUAGAGCAAGGACAUGUCUUAGCUCAGGGCUAACAGUGACCAACCUCAAACUCACUAGAUUUGGUUCAGGCACAAUAAGAGGCAUUUUCAGAAGUGUUACAUCACUUCCUCGUGGUUGAUACCAGACUUAUAAAAGAGUAGAUUUCAGGGAGGUUUGAAAUUCUCAUGCUCUUUUUGUGUGCAGGUGCCCCACAUGAAUGGUAUCUAUAGAAAAAACAUUUACUCACUGUCAGUUCCUGAUCUGCUGCUCAGCAGCCAGACCUGGCAUGCCCAGAAGUCAUCACUACCUUGCUGAUGUAGAUACUUAAAAGUGGAAUUCAUCUUGUCUGGCUUCAGGGUGUCUAAAAGCUACAUGAGUAAUUCUGGGCUCAUGCCCUCCCUCCUUUUACACUCCUUGAAGAAAACCAGGCACCUCCACAUUUCGCUCUGCCUGACUGUAGGCGAGGUCUGAGGGUGAGAUGAACCUGUGCCUUGUCAUAGGCUAUAACCGGAUCACAGAUAAUGAACCCAGGCUGAGGUGUCAGUGGCCUAUUUAUAGGAUUUCAGUAGUAAAUCAGGAAAAUCAUUUUGUCAUAGCAAUAUAAAUCCCAAAAUAGCAUCUCUGUACCGCUGCCCAUCCCCAUACCUCCCUUCUGCUGAUAAAGAUGGCAUGGAAAUGAGAUGAGAGACAAGCAACAGAGGCUUCUGUGAUAAACAGGCCUUAAAAAGAUUGCAAAUGGAAAAGAAAGAUGUGGCUGUAUUAAAGAUCACAGGAUAAACGAGCCAUGAGUGUAACAAGAGCUGAAAAUGGGAGGCAGAUCCUAAGUUCAGGAGGGAAAAGGAAUGUCCUUGCCUUGUGUGGGAUACAGGGACCAGCCAGGAUCUGGCCAGUGGAGCAGGUGCAGAGGAAGAUGGGGGGCAAACUAAAAUAGCUUUGUUUAGGCUAGGAAAAGGAGGAAAAGGCUAGGAAAAGGAUUGCCUUCUAUAAAUAGUCCAAGUAAGCCCCCAGGGAAGGGAGAUAAUUAUUUAAGCUAAAAGACAAUGUUGGCCCCAAAUCAAACUGGUUGUGAGUAAAUAGAGGGUGGAAACAUGAAGGAGGUUUCUGAGCAUCACAGGAAAGAUGUUCUGAAGCAACUUUCCAGUCACAGCAGGAACCUGAGCACUUCUAAAUCCGUCAGAGCAGGAAAUUGAUCUCGGUGCCAAGAUAUCUUCCAGAUCUACAUACACAUUACUCAUGCUUUAUUUAAUCUUUAUUUUGCCAAUGACAAAUUUUUGCCUUGCCUUAGAAAAUAAGACUGGACAAAAACUUCCCAGACUGUAUGGUUGAUAGGUUGAUCGAAGGCAGGUUCAUUCAUAUUGAUGGGUGUUGGGCUGGCAUCAGUCGGCACAUCCACAAGUGACAUCUACAGUGUUCUAGUCCUCCACUGCCCUUAUUAUCAUAACAGCUUCUUAAUAUGUUGGGUAUUUUCGCUCAUUAUCUUGCCUUAUCUCUCUCUCUGCAGUUUAUGUACAUCAUUAGGCUAAUGGAACACUGCAAGAAUGAUGGGAAGUUUUGGCCUGGGAAAAAAUGCCAUUAAAUCUCUUUAGGAGAAACCUCAGUCAACAAAAACUAUGGAAACAAAACCAAACCAGGACUGGUGCCUGGGUUUGAAUAUGGCCACUCAGCAAACAGGGAAACUGAGGAAACUGGGGUCAAAUUUCCUUCCUCUGUUUAGCCCUUUCACAUAGCCUUAUACAGAGAAAUUUGAUAGUGAUAGAGGAAAACCCCACAUUCCCAUGGAAACUUUGGUGCACACUUUCCAGCAGCAGUGCAUAAGAAUGGACCAGAAUGGUUCUUCUUUAGGGAUUAGCCUCAUACAAUCCUUUGGCUUAGCUCUUAGUAAAAAACAUAUUCCAGCCCAAUUUGCACACAGUUACUUUCUCAGUGUCAGAGUUUUACCAAACUACUUUCUUUUUUUCCCCCUUUAUAUCUGAGGCAAAUAACUGUGCAAGACAGGCACUAGCUUUCUAAGGAGUGAAUCCAUUGGUCAAAAGGGUUUCCUUGCUGUAUGGAUGAGAUUUCUACCGCUUGUCCCUAAAGCAAAUAACUGAUUGUAUAAAAACUAUUCAGAUUUAAAUAGGAAUUCUUAUAAUGGAAGGAGAGAUACAGAAUGUUCUUUUUCUGUUCUCUUUCUGCUUCUGAAAAGAUCAGAUUCACGCUUACCUUCUAACGUAAUCUACUCUAAUCUCGAGUCAUCCACCACUGAAUUGACCAGAGUACAGGAAAGCAAGAAACCAGCUUUUUCACAGCUGAAAAUGGGUCAACCAUGCACCUCAACCCUUUAAAUGAAGUAAAAGCAAGGCUGAGAUGGGGAAGGGAGUAAGGUUUUGUUAAUAGAAGCAGGCUGUGACCCACGCUUACCUUGAUGGAUAGGAAUAACCCUGUGCUCUGAACUAGAUGGGUAAAUACAACCUCUGCCAGGUACACCAUCAUCCACUUUCCUCAUAUAUCAUGUCUGAACUUUCAUACCCCGUCGCACAUCAGUGGGUGGUUAUCGAAGGAUGAUGUACAACCUCUCUGCUUCGGAAAUUGUCUAUUUAAUAGAAGCUCCUGCUGUGUCUCAACAGUUGCAUUAGGAACCCUGUCUAUCUCCCAUGUUCUAAAAAAAGCCAUUCGUGAAAGCAGGCGAGCACAAGAGCUGAGUAAACUUGGACACAGCUCCCAGCCAAAUUAUGAGCAUGCUGCCAAACAUGGAGAAAAGUGCAUCUGAUUCUUCUGCUAAGGCGUCCAAGGAGGGCCACAAAAUUACAGUUGAAACUAUAAACAGAAUGAGUACAUUUUGUUCAUUUUCCUGUUCUCUUUGUAAUCGAUGCAAUAUGAAGAGCUGCUAUCAGUAGAGUUAUACAAUCAGAUGGUGGCAAUAAAAGGAGCGUUAGCAAGCCUAGGAUGUCAUAGGAGGUUGACUGAAGGAAGCAGUUAUAAACCAAGACCAUUUAUAUCUAUUUAGAUGAGAACACCAGUUUUGUGACAAAGUCAUUUUGAUGUCUGUCUGCCCACUUAAUACUCAACUGAUGGAUGUCUGCAUCCUGAUCUACAGUGGUUGCCUGGAGAAAGAUCAGUACCAAGGAUUAUACAUGCACAGACACGUCUCUUUGUGCACCUUGAAUAAGAUGUGUGUUAUAUAUAGUCACAACAUAUCCAUGUAUAAGUGAGUUCAUCUGAUGUACACAGUAUUAUGCAUAUGCACAACAGCAUCAU